rnacentral:rRNA from 1 species
GGGGGGGGGGGGGGGGGGGGGUGGGGGAGGGGGGGCGGGCGGAGGGAGGGGGCUUGCUCCUGGGUUCAGCGGCGGACGGGUGAGGGAUGCCUGGGAAGCGGCCUGGUAGUGGGGGGUAAGGUCCGGGAAGGGGCGCUAAUACCGCAUACGUCCUGAGGGAGAGAGUGGGUGAUCUGCCGGCCUCGCGCUAUCAGGUCAGCCUAGGGGGUGUUAGCUCGUUGGUGGGGUAAAGGCCUACCAAGGCGACGAUCCGUAACUGGUCUGAGAGGAUGAUCAGUCACACUGGAACUGAGACACGGUCCAGACUCCUACGGGAGGCAGCAGUGGGGAAUAUUGGACAAUGGGCGAAAGCCUGAUCCAGCCAUGCCGCGUGUGUGAAGAAGGUCUUCGGAUUGUAAAGCACUUUAAGUUGGGAGGAAGGGCAGUAAGUUAAUACCUUGCUGUUUUGACGUUACCAACAGAAUAAGCACCGGCUAACUUCGUA